CCUACGGGUGGCCGCAGUGAGGAAUAUUGGUCCAUGGACGAGAGUCUGAACCAGCCAAGUAGCGUGAAGGAUGACUGCCCUAUGGGUUGUAAACUUCUUUUAUAUGGGAAUAAAACGUUCCACGUGUGGGAUUUUGUAUGUACCAUAUGAAUAAGUAUCGGCUAACUCCGUGCAAGCAGCCGCGUUAAUACGGAGGAUCCGAGCGUUAUCCGGAUUUAUUGGGUUUAAGGGGAGCGUAGGUGGAUUGUUAAGUCAGUGGUGACAGUUUGCGGCUCAACCGUAAAAUUGCAGUUGAAACUGGCAGUUUUGAGUACAGUAGAGGUGGGCGGAAUUCGUGGUGUAGCGGUGAAAUGCUUAGAUAUCACGAAGAACUCCGAUUGCGAAGGCAGUUCACUGGACUGCAACUGACACUGAGGCUCGAAAGUGUGGGUAUCAAACAGGAUUAGAUACCCUGGUAGUC
rnacentral:rRNA from 1 species